rnacentral:lncRNA from 1 species
CAACAGGUUGCUAAAAUAUUUUCAACUUUUUGUAUGUCAUUCAGCAUUUCCAUAUGUUCUUAAUGGGGAGGGGUGUUCUAUUUUGGGUCAGUCUGCUAUUGUGGCAAAGGACCCCAUAAUCUCUUAUGUAUGUCUGUUUUGGGAAGCUAAAAAUAGGACUUUGAGCCUAGAAUAGAACUCUGAUUAGAAUACCUUUCUCUCUAUGCUAGAAUGAUAACUACAAGUUCCAAAAGGAAGAAUAAAGAGAGAAAUGUUCUAUUGAAAACUUACCACAGUAUCAUCAGCAACAAUGAACAAUUCAACAUACUUUUCAUCAUGGAUGCCCUGUAAAGUUAGGGAAAAUUCAGUUGAAGUAUAGUUAACACUUUCUAUCUUAACCCUUUAAGUUGGAAAAAAAAUCCUAGUAUUUUCAAGGUAAGAAAUGUUGAUAUUGAUACAAAAUGGGGAGGCAUAUGAAUAUAUAAAAAUUGUACGAAUUUAUCUAAAUGAGAUCUAUACGAUUAAACAUGGGGUCCUAUACAUCGGAUUUUAGUAUUUUCUAUUUGUUCUUUUUUUUCUUUUCUUUUUUUUAAAUUUAAUUUUAUUUUUUAAUUUCCGAGGUACAUGUGCAGGAUAUGUGGGUUUGUUACAUGGGUGAGCAUGUGCCACGGUGGUUUGCUGCACCUAUCAACCCCAUCACCUAGGUAUUAAGCCUAGCAUGCAUUAGCUCUUUUUCCUAAUGCUUUGUUUAGGCUUUCAGGUCAAAUAAGAGUUGUAAAUAAUCAUAAACACAUACUUUAACAUUCAGGUUUUUUUUUUUUCAUUUACUGAGUAAGUGUUUCAUUAGUAAGCUCACGUGAAAAACAUCCAUCUGUAACUGAGAGUUAAAACAUAGUGUGGACCAACAGGACUGACUGCAUUUCUUGUACUCCUUCCCCUGCUUCCCAACUUUCUAAUUUUCAGUAGUCUCAAUUCCAAGCAAACAUGUACAAAUUUUGCUAAUCAUAGAUCU